rnacentral:rRNA from 1 species
ACGGUAACAGGAGAGAGCUUGCUCUCUUGCUGACGAGUGGCGGACGGGUGAGUAAUGCUUGGGAAUCUGCCUAUAGAUGGGGGAUAACCAUUGGAAACGAUGGCUAAUACCGCGUAAUAUCGAGAGAUUAUAGAGUGCUUUUAGUACCUGUCUAUAGAUGAGCCCAAGUGAGAUUAGCUAGUUGGUGAGGUAAUGGCUCACCAAGGCGACGAUCUCUAGCUGGUUUGAGAGAAUGACCAGCCACACUGGAACUGAGACACGGUCCAGACUUCUACGGAAGGCAGCAGUGGGGAAUAUUGGACAAUGGGGGCAACCCUGAUCCAGCCAUGCCGCGUGUAUGAAGAAGGCCUUAGGGUUGUAAAGUACUUUCGGUAAUGAGGAAGGUAAUUAUUGAAGGAUAGUUGCUUGACGUUAGUUACAGAAGAAGCACCGGCUAACUCCGCGCCAGCAGCCGCGGUAAUACGGAGGGUGCGAGCGUUAAUCGGAAUUACUGGGCGUAAAGGGCACGCAGGCGGAUUGGCAAGUUAGAUGUGAAAGCCCCGAGCUUAACUUGGGAAUUGCAUUUAAAACUACUAAUCUAGAGUUGUUUAGGGAGGGGUAGAAUUUCUCGUGUAACAGUGAAAUGUGUAGAGAUGAGAAGGAAUACCGAAGGCGAAGGCAGCCCCUUGGGAACAAACUGACGCUCAUGUGCGAAAGCGUGGGGAGCAA